GCGAGAGCUUACUUAGCCAAACUCUGGGAACCAAGGCCGCUCGGAGGCGUCGUACGUGAGGGUCCUGAAGCGCCACUGCCCACCUCCCCCGCGGAGGAUCCCGUCUAUUUUCCUGCGAGCUCUUGGCAUCUUUCUGAAACCCUCAGAAGUCACGGUGUUUUGCCUCUGUUACACUGUCAAGCUCCCUGGGGUUGAAAUCGAUGUUUAAUUCAUCUUUUGUUUCCCAAGGCACCUGCACUCUGCGACCAUUUGCUAUUGAGAAGUCAUGCACCAAGUCAUGAGGACACUCAAGCAGCCUGUGGAGAAGCCUAUGGGAAGAAACUGGGCCUCCCACGAACUUCUGGCACCACCAUGCCAGCCUUGUCACUGCACCACCUUGGAACCAAAUCUUCUAGCUCCAGUCGAUUCUGAUGACUGUAACCCUGGUGACAUCUUGACCAUAGCCUCGUGCUGUGCCCUGGGCCAGAAGCACUCAGCUCAGCAGUGCCUGAAUCUGUGACCUGCACAAAGAGUGAGUUUGAUGAAUCUUCAUUGCUGUUUAAUUUUGCCGUUUUUUGAAAUACAGCUCACAUCCAUACAGUGAUUUUUAGUAUAUUCAUUGUUACACAACUGUUUCUGCUAUCUUAUUCUAGAACAUUUCUGUUACCUCAAAGUGCUACCCCAUACCUUUUAACAAUCACUCUUAGUUCCCUCACUCUAGUGCAUCACCUGACAACAACUAAUCUAUUAUCUGACUCUAAGGAUUUCCCUGUUGUGGGCAUUUGCUAUAAAUAGAAUCUUAGGAUGUGCAAUCUUUUGUGAAUGACUUCUUUCGCAUAUAUAUCAUAAAGUUUCCAAGGUUGAUCCAUGUUGCAGCACGAGUCAAUCAUUCAUUCCUUUUUUUGUUAAUGCUUAUUUAUUUUUGAUAGAGAGGGAGAACGUGAACAGGGGAGGGCAGAGGGAGAUACAGAAUCCAAAGCAGGC